rnacentral:ncRNA from 1 species
ACAUCGCGUUGGAGGUACGUCCGGGCGGAGGGAUCCUGAGUCCCUGCGCGGCGGGCGUUGAGAGAGUCUCCCAUCACCGGAUCAGGUUAAUGCCUGCGGCGGGAAACGCGCUUCACGGGCA